GAGUGAUAAGGAAAAUCUGUUGUUAAGGUUAGCGGUCUUCUGCAUGCCUUUUUCGCACUUCUCUUCAACCUUUAUUAUGUAAAACCGCGUUCUUUUCCAACUUUGCAUGCACUCUCUUUCUCUCUCUAUAUAUACUCAUUCACUUUCUCUCUCUUACCCAAACACAACAACAAUACUUCACGUUUCCAAAUUCCUUCGCCACUGUAAGUGUAUUGUUGUUGCAGCACACAGAAAGCACCUCAGACUUGUUUUGUUUUUCCGAGGGUUUUGCGUUUGCAGUGGAUGGAGCUCGAUGUUUGCAUGAAUGGUGCUUGCAAGAAUGGGUAUGCGAGAGAGUGGAAGAAAGGGUGGCCUCUGCGAUCGGGUGGAUUCGCUAGGCUCUGCGAUAAGUGCGGAUCUGCGUAUGCCAAUUCAAUUUUCUGUGAAAAAUUCCACCUGCAUCAAACUGGUUGGAGAGAGUGCAACUUUUGCAACAAGUCUAUCCACUGUGGAUGCAUAAUAUCAAGGUUUUCUUUUGAAUACCUUGAUUUUGGAGGUAUAGGUUGCUCAACCUGUUUGAGGGCUUCUCAAAUUCCUCUGAUACAGGAGACUGGAAGGUCUAUUAGAUCAGCAAAAAAUCAUGCAAGUGAUCGUCAUACUGAACAUAUUGAUGACAGACUAUUCCUUGAUGGUUCUAGCAAAAGAAAAUUUAUGCAGAUGCGCAGAAUUGUUGAUGGUAGAGAAUCCAGCCGUUGGCCUCAAGCUAAGAGAGAUGACAUAGAUUCAUGUAUUGAUCUAAACAGAGAAGAAAUGAGAUUUUCAAAUAUGAUGAAACCGUCUAAUUAUUCAUUGAAGUUUAGUGCAUUAGAAAAUAACAGACCAACAUGGGAGAGUAGAAGUAUGCAGAGAUCAAGUUCAUUGAAUAUGUCUCUGGGAGCCUCAUCAGGAAACUCUGUGGUACCUUCUGCUUCAGAGAUUGCAGAAAGGAGAUUUGAUGGUAAAACAUCAUCUUCUUCCUUUCAUCAAGGGAAAAGACCUCUUUCCAUUAUGCCUAAACCAUUGAUGAAUGCAAUAUCCAUAAUGGAAUCAAGCAAUGGAAUGAUUUCUCAAGAGCGUGUUGCACGGCCACCUACUGAUGGGAAAGGCAAGAAUAUGUUACUUUCUCGAUACUGGCCUAGAAUUACAGACCAAGAGCUUCAGCAAUUAUCUGGAGACUUGAAAUCUACUAUAGUGCCUUUAUUUGAGAAGGUACUGAGUGCCAGUGAUGCAGGUCGAAUUGGUCGUCUUGUUCUGCCAAAAUCUUGCGCUGAGGCUUACUUUCCUCCUAUUUCACAAUCAGAUGGUGUUCCUUUGCAUAUGAAAGAUGUGAAGGGAAAUGAGUGGACAUUUCAGUUUAGAUUUUGGCCUAAUAACAACAGUAGAAUGUAUGUAUUAGAGGGAGUAACCCCUUGCAUACAGGCCUUGCAACUAAAUGCUGGCGACAUUGUGAUAUUUAGUCGGAUAGAUCCUGGAGGCAAAUUUGUUUUGGGUUUUAGAAGGGCAUCAGAUUCUACAGAUACACAGGAUGCUUCUGCUGGUAAUUCCAAUGUUUUUCCAACAAAGGAAAAAACCUUUUCUGGUACAACUGCAGGAAAUAGUUAUCAUGAUCCUCUCCAGACAAGGAAAGCGAAUGGUGAUGCUUACUUAAAUAAAUGUUCAGAGCAUUUCCGUUUGGGUACUGGAAUUGCUGAGUGUCUUCGAACUGAAAAUUCUGAGAUGGUAAACAACGAUUUGGUACAACUACCAAUUUCAGUUUCAGAAAAGACUCAAAAUAUUGGACCUAUGUGCAAGAGGUUGCUCAUACAUAAUGAAGAUGCCAUGGAGUUGAGAGUUACAUGGGAAGAAGCUCAGGACUUGCUUUGUCCAGCGCCUAGUGUCAAAGCCAGUAUCGUAGCAAUUGAGGACCAAGAAUUUGAGGAAUAUGAGGAACCCCCGGUCUUUGGAAGAGAACUACAAUCAAUGCUCGUUCAUCAGGUUCUUUGAGCUUUGCAUCAGAAGAAAUGAGUCCAAAAGAAUCAGAUAAUAUUACUGUAAUCGACAAAGCUGGAGACAGCACCAAACAUCCGAGGCACCGUUCUGGAUGCACUUGCCUUACCUGCAUCACUGUGAAACACCGUUUGGACACCCUUUUGACGCGUAAGAAGCAACUCCAUGGUAUCCAGAAUGAUGAUGAUAUUUAUGACAGAGAUGAAGGAGAUGGUGCAUGUCUCUCAGAGAGAGAGGGAAGCAUAAACAAAGGUUGUGUUAAGAAGGGUGAACGCAGUGCAGGAGAAAUAGACCUGAAUUGUCGUCCCAAUCUUGACGAAGACAUGCAAGUGGAUAUAUGAAACCAAAAACUAUCCUUUAGCACAGGAAUUCAUGAACCAAAAUGGCCUAAAACUUUGAUCCUGAACUGCAGUUUACAUCGCUCCUUUUCACUUAAUCUUCUGUAUGGAAUCUAAAAGGAUGACUUAAGUUAGAUUUCUCCUUUAUGCAAACUCAACACAGUCUUGUUGCUUUCCUUUUCAAAGGAG